CAAGUACUCCCUCCGUCCGGAAUUACUUGUCAUCAAAAUGGAUGUGUCUAGAACUAAAAUACAUCUAGAUACAUCCAUUUCAAUGAUAAGUAUUUUCGGACGGAGGGAGUACAAG
rnacentral:pre_miRNA from 1 species